GUAUGUGGAUGAUGAGAAGUUGAAAUCAAUCAGUUAUCCCUGUCUGAUAUAUGUGUGCUGAUUUUUUUACACCCUGACAUAUCU